rnacentral:rRNA from 1 species
CACAAGGGGUGAAGCCUGCGGUUCAUUUGGAGUCAACGCCAGGAAACUUACCAGGAGAGACAGCAGAUUGAGGGUCAGGCUGAAGACCUUACCUGACGAGCUGAGAGGAGGUGCAUGGCCGUCGCCAGCUCGUGCCGUGAGGCGUCCUGUUAAGUCAGGCAACGAGCGAGACCCCURUCAGUAAUUGCUAACUGCCCAGAGAUGGGNAGAGGCUAGUUACAGAGACUGCCGUUGAUAAAACGGAGGAAGGAAGGGGCCACGGCAGGUCAGUAUGCCCCGAAACUCCUGGGCCACACGCGGGCUGCAAUGGUAGGGACAAUAGGUUCCNACCUCNAAAGAGGAAGGCAAUCCCCAAACCCUACCUCAGUUGUGAUCGAGGAUUGAAACCCGUCCUCGUGAAUAUGGAAUCCCUAGUAACCGCGUGUCAUCACCGCGCGGUGAAUACGUCCCUGCUCC